rnacentral:ncRNA from 1 species
AAUCCUGCUCAGUACAAGAGGAACUGCAGUUUCAGACGUGGUGUCUAGUCUUGGCUGAGGAGCCAGUGGUGUGAAGCUGUGUUCUGUAGGAUUACGACUGAAUGCCUCCGAAACAGAAUCUCC